GCCUCUUUGGCUCAGUGGUUCACACUUCAGUCUCCACACCAGAGACCCGGGUUCGAAACCCGGUCGUGACA